CCUGAUCCAGCAAUGCCGCGUGUGUGAAGAAGGCCUUCGGGUUGUAAAGCACUUUUAUCCGGAGCGAAAUACUGCCGGCUAAUACCCGGCGGGGCUGACGGUACCUGAGGAAUAAGCACCGGCUAACUUCGUGCCAGCAGCCGCGGUAAUACGAAGGGUGCAAGCGUUAAUCGGAAUUACUGGGCGUAAAGCGUGCGUAGGCGGUUCUUUAAGUCUGCUGUGAAAUCCCCGGGCUCAACCUGGGAAUGGCAGUGGAUACUGGAGAGCUAGAGUGUGAUAGAGGAUGGUGGAAUUCCCGGUGUAGCGGUGAAAUGCGUAGAGAUCGGGAGGAACAUCAGUGGCGAAGGCGGCCCUCUGGAUCAACACUGACGCUGAGGCACGAAAGCGUGGGGAGCAAACAGGAUUAGAUACCCUGGUAGUCCACGCCCUAAACGAUGCGAACUGGAUGUUGGUCUCAACUUUCCAGAUCAGUGUCGAAGCUAACGCGUUAAGUUCCGCCGCCUGGGGAGUACGGUCGCAAGACUGAAACUCAAGAGGAAUUGACGGGGGCCCGCACAAGCGGGUGUGAGUAUGUGGUUUAUUUCUGAUGCAACGCAAAGACCCUUACCUGGCUCUUGACAUGUCUGGAAUCC
rnacentral:rRNA from 1 species